GCACAGGUAGCUCAGUUGGAUAGAGUAGCUGGCUACGAACCAGUUGGUCGGGGGGUUCGAAUCCUCUCCUGUGUG
rnacentral:tRNA from 1 species